AAAAGAAUUUACCUGGCGGCAAUAGCGCGGUGGUCCCACCUGACCCCAUGCCGAACUCAGAAGUGAAACGCCGUAGCGCCGAUGGUAGUGUGGGGUCUCCCCAUGCGAGAGUAGGACACUGCCAGGUAUCAAAUA
rnacentral:rRNA from 1 species